UACAGGGGGUGCGAGCGUUAAUCGGAAUUACUGGGCGUAAAGCGCGCGUAGGCGGCUUUGCAAGUCGGGUGUGAAAUCCCCAGGCUUAACCUGGGAACUGCAUUCGAGACUGCAUUGCUAGAGUAUGGGAGAGGGAAGUGGAAUUUCCGGUGUAGCGGUGAAAUGCGUAGAUAUCGGAAGGAACAUCAGUGGCGAAAGCGACUUCCUGGACCAAUACUGACGCUCAUGUGCGAAAGCGUGGGGAGCAAACAGGG
rnacentral:rRNA from 1 species